GAAGAAGCAGAUACCGUAGUCAGAGAAGGAGAUACAGGAGACGCCGGGGAAGCAGGAGGAGAAGGAGAAGAGGGAGAAGGAGAGGGUAUCGCAGGAGAUAUUCUCGCAGAAGAAGAUACUAAGACAGCAAAUAGCAAAACUCCAUCUGAACUCCUGCUUGAGAAUUUAACCAAAUUCAACCGGAUCUUCUGACCAUCAUGAAA